CCUACGGGUGGCUGCAGUGGGGAAUAUUGGACAAUGGGGGCAACCCUGAUCCAGCCAUGUCGCGUGUGUGAAGAAGGCCCUCGGGUUGUAAAGCACUUUCAGUGAGGAAGAACGCCUGGUGGUUAAUACCCAUCAGGAAAGACAUCACUCACAGAAGAAGCACCGGCUAACUCCGUGCCAGCAGCCGCGGUAAUACGGAGGGUGCGAGCGUUAAUCGGAAUUACUGGGCGUAAAGCGCGCGUAGGUGGCUUGAUAAGCCGGUUGUGAAAGCCCCGGGCUCAACCUGGGAACGGCAUCCGGAACUGUCAAGCUAGAGUGCAGGAGAGGAAGGUAGAAUUCCCGGUGUAGCGGUGAAAUGCGUAGAGAUCGGGAGGAAUACCAGUGGCGAAGGCGGCCUUCUGGACUGACACUGACACUGAGGUGCGAAAGCGUGGGUAGCAAACAGGAUUAGAUACCCUGGUAGUC
rnacentral:rRNA from 1 species